rnacentral:rRNA from 1 species
GCAUUCGCCCUUCGGGGUGCCCAGGCGCGAAAACUUUACAAUGCUGGAAACAGCGAUAAGGGGACCUCGAGUGCCAGGUUACAAAUCUGGCUGUCGUGAUGCCUAAAAAGCAUUGCAUAGCAAGGGCCGGGCAAGACCGGUGCCAGCCGCCGCGGUAACACCGGCGGCUCGAGUGGUAACCGUUAUUAUUGGGUCUAAAGGGUCUGUAGCCGGCCGGAUAAGUCUCUUGGGAAAUCCAGCAGCUCAACUGUUGGGCUUUCAGGAGAUACUGUCUGGCUCGAGGCCGGGAGAGGUGAGAGGUACUUCAGGGGUAGGGGUGAAAUCUUGUAAUCCUUGAAGGGCCACCAGUGGCGAAGGCGUCUCACCAGAACGGACCUGACGGCAAGGGACGAAAGCUAGGGGCACGAACCGGAUUAGAUACCCGGGUAGUCCUAGCCGUAAACGAUACUCGCUAGGUGUCGGCCACGGUGCGACCGUUGUCGGUGCCGUAGGGAAGCCGUGAAGCGAGCCACCUGGGAAGUACGGCCGCAAGGCUGAAACUUAAAGGAAUUGGCGGGGGAGCAC